UACGUAGGGUGCGAGCGUUAAUCGGAAUUACUGGGCGUAAAGCGUGCGCAGGCGGUGAGCUGUGUCCGAUGUGAAAGCCCCGGGCUUAACCUGGGAAUGGCCAUGGAAACUGGCGAACUGGAGUGUGGCAGAGGGGGGUGGAAUUCCGCGUGUAGCAGUGAAAUGCGUAGAGAUGCGGAGGAACACCGAUGGCGAAGGCAGCCCCCUGGGCUAGCACUGACGCUCAGGCACGAAAGCGUGGGGAGCAAACGGG
rnacentral:rRNA from 1 species